AUUUGCCAUUUCUCAUGGUUCUUAUGUUUGGCUGGGCCUUAGCUGGGCUGUUCUGAUGAGCAUGUGGCUUGAACUGGAAAGAUCAAAAUAACCAUGGGCCUCUCUGCAAUGGCUUUGAUAUUUGGCAAGGUGGCUGGAUAUGCAAAGGACUUUCGAGAAGAAAUGUUCCAACCAAAGAAGACAUAAGCUGUGGCUCUGUUAAGGCUUGUACCCCAGAAGCAACACAUUAGUGCUUCCUUCCCAUUCUGUAGGUGGAGACAGAUCAGAGGGCCAACCCCCCAGGAAGUAGAUUCCAUCUCUUCAAGGUGACCCGUGAAGUCAGUCCGGUGGUGCCAUUCAUUCUCCUCAGCUUGUAAAACUAAGACAAGAAGACACGGAUGCGUGGUGACUUGUUCGAGGCUAUAACUGGCCGACGGGUAAUGUGCCGGUCAUAACAAGGUUUAAGGUGGUACAUGUCACACAGCGGCGUGAACACCCAGUCAUCAUGCUUAUCAACCCCAAAAGGAUCUGACGAAACUUUCUUAAGCAAGAAUAACAAAAACAGAGAAGCCACAAAGGAAAAGACAUAUUUAACUACCUUAAAAAAAAAAAAAUUAAGACGGGCAUCUGGGUGGCUCGGUCGACUUCAGCCCAGGUCAUGAUC